rnacentral:rRNA from 1 species
GACGAACGCUGGCGGCGUGCUUAACACAUGCAAGUCGAACGGAAAGGCCUCUUUCGGGGGGUACUCGAGUGGCGAACGGGUGAGUAACACGUGAGUAACCUGCCCUUGACUUUGGGAUAACUUCAGGAAACUGGGGCUAAUACCGGAUAGGAGCUCCUGCUGCAUGGUGGGGGUUGGAAAGUUUCGGCGGUUGGGGAUGGACUCGCGGCUUAUCAGCUUGUUGGUGGGGUAGUGGCUUACCAAGGCUUUGACGGGUAGCCGGCCUGAGAGGGUGACCGGCCACAGUGGGACUGAGAUACGGCCCAGACUCCGACGGGAGGCAGCAGGGGGGAAUAUUGCACAAUGGGUGGAAGCCUGAUGCAGCAACGCCGUGUGCGGGAUGACGGCCUUCGGGUUGUAAACCGCUUUCGCUCAUGACGAAGCUUUGUGUGACGGUAGUGGGUAAAGAAGCACCGGCUAACUACGUG